UUUGCUUUAUGUGUGGCAAAUUCGAAUAUCCCUUGUAUUUAACUGUUAGCUGUAUGAAAGAGGUUUUGACGCUUUUUUUACAUUUUGGUACAGCAACGCCCCUUGGAUUUCAGUAUAUUGUUUUUGUAGGAGGUAGUGCGAAUGUCCAUCAUAAAUAUAAAGCUGUCACGUGUCAAAUAGCGCCAAAAGACAAAGAAGGCGGCCUCGUCGCGGUUGACGCCGGUGAGGAGGCGCAGCUUCUGGUUGAACUGCCGCCGGCGGAACAGCCUCUCCGGGAAGUCUGGGAGCACGCGCCAGUCGUCCUGCUGCCACUCCUCGUACCAGUCGUUGCCAGGAAACGUCGUGUUCGUCUCGAUGUGGUUUGGUAAACAAGACACUGCUUCAAGUUCUCACCUCUCCGAUGACCUGGUGCACCAUGUGGG